rnacentral:rRNA from 1 species
UACGGAGGGGGCUAGCGUUGUUCGGAAUCACUGGGCGUGAAGGGUGCGUAGGCGGGUCUUUAAGUCAGGGGUGAAAUCCUGGAGCUCAACUCCAGAACUGCCUUUGAUACUGAGGAUCUUGAGUUCGGGAGAGGUGAGUGGAACUGCGAGUGUAGAGGUGAAAUUCGUAGAUAUUCGCAAGAACACCAGUGGCGAAGGCGGCUCACUGGCCCGAUACUGACGCUGAGGCACGAAAGCGUGGGGAGCAAACAGG